AGGAAAAAAGUUCAGUUUAGGGUUUAAAACCCUAAUGCUGACUGAAGGAAAAGAGUUCAGUUUAGGGUUUAAAACCCUAAUGCUGACUGAAGGAAAAGAGUUUAGUUUAGGGUUUAAAUCCCUAAUGUUGACUGAAGGAAAAGAGUUCAGUUUAGGGUUUAAAACCCUAAUGCUGACUGAAAGGAAAAAGUUUAGUUUAGGGUUUAAAACCCUAAUGCUGACUAAAUGGAAAAAGUUCAGUUUAGGGUUUAAAACCCUAAUGCUGACUAAAGGAAAGAGUUCAAUUUAGGGUUUAAAACCUUAAUGCUGGCUAAAGGAAAGAGUUCAGUAUAGGGUUUUAAAACCCUAAUGCUGACUGAAUGGAAAGAGUUCAGUUUAGGGUUUAAAACCCUAAUGCUAACUAAAUAGAAAAAGUUUAGUUUAGGGUUUAAAACCCUAAUGCUGACUAAA
rnacentral:lncRNA from 1 species